UAGGUUCAUUAUAAGCAUGAUUAAAAAGGGAAAGCGGUGAGAUUCCGCUACUGUCCCGCAGCUGUAAGUUGUCUGUCACAGGUAAACAUAAGCCACUGAUAACGAAUGAUUGGGAAGGCGUUUACCUUCUUUUGGAUAACAAGUCAGAAGACCUGCCAUUGCAAG
rnacentral:ncRNA from 1 species